rnacentral:rRNA from 1 species
AGUGAACGCUGGCGGUAGGCCUAACACAUGCAAGUCGAACGGCAGCACAGUAAGAGCUUGCUCUUACGGGUGGCGAGUGGCGGACGGGUGAGGAAUACAUCGGAAUCUACUUUUUCGUGGGGGAUAACGUAGGGAAACCUACGCUAAUACCGCAUACGACCUACGGGUGAAAGCAGGGGAUCUUCGGACCUUGCGCGAUUGAAUGAGCCGAUGUCGGAUUAGCUAGUUGGCGGGGUAAAGGCCCACCAAGGCGACGAUCCGUAGCUGGUCUGAGAGGAUGAUAGGCCACACUGGAACUGAGACACGGUCCAGACGCCUACGGGAGGCAGCAGUGGGGAAUAUUGGACAAUGGGCGCAAGCCUGAUCCAGCCAUACCGCGUGGGUGAAGAAGGCCUUCGGGUUGUAAAGCCCUUUUGUUGGGAAAGAAAAGCAGCAGGUUAAUACCCAGCUGUUCUGACGGUACCCAAAGAAUAAGCACCGGCUAACUUCGUG